rnacentral:rRNA from 1 species
AAACCUGCCUUAUAGACUGGGACAACUAUUGGAAACGAUAGCUAAUACCGGAUAACAGCAUUAACUGCAUGGUUGAUGUUUGAAAGUUGGUUUUGCUAACACUAUGAGAUGGCUUUGCGGUGCAUUAGCUAGUUGGUGGGGUAAAGGCCUACCAAGGCGACGAUGCAUAGCCGACCUGAGAGGGUGAUCGGCCACACUGGGACUGAGACACGGCCCAG